CACCGCCGCGGGAAUACGGAGGGUGCAAGCGUUAAUCGGAAUUACUGGGCGUAAAGCGCACGCAGGCGGUCUGACAAGUCAGAUGUGAAAUCCCCGGGCUUAACCUGGGAACUGCAUUUGAAACUGUCAGGCUGGAGUCUUGUAGAGGGGGGUGGAAUUCCAGGUGUAGCGGUGAAAUGCGUAGAGAUCUGGAGGAAUACCGGUGGCGAAGGCGGCCCCCUGGACAAAGACUGACGCUCAGGUGCGAAAGCGUGGGGAGCAAACAGGAUUAGAUACCCCUGUAGUCCCUGUCUCUUAUACC
rnacentral:rRNA from 1 species